rnacentral:rRNA from 1 species
AACGAACGCUGGCGGCAUGCCUAACACAUGCAAGUCGAACGAGACCUUCGGGUCUAGUGGCGCACGGGUGCGUAACGCGUGGGAACCUGCCUUUAGGUUCGGAAUAACUCAGAGAAAUUUGAGCUAAUACCGGAUAAUGUCUUCGGACCAAAGAUUUAUCGCCUUUAGAUGGGCCCGCGUAAGAUUAGCUAGUUGGUGGGUAAAGGCCUACCAAGGCGACGAUCUUUAGCUGGUCUGAGAGGAUGAUCAGCCACACUGGGACUGAGACACGGCCCAGACUCCUACGGGAGGCAGCAGUGGGGAAUAUUGGACAAUGGGCGAAAGCCUGAUCCAGCAAUGCCGCGUGAGUGAUGAAGGCCUUAGGGUUGUAAAGCUCUUUUACCCGAGAUGAUAAUGACAGUAUC